GGGCGGGACGGGCAGCCCGGCGGGGCCGGUGGGACGGGCAGCCCCGGUGGAACUGUUUGACUUGGAGUUACGGGAGGAGAAGGAGCUGGGCAGACGUCCCUGGAGGCAUUCAAUAUUGCACAAUCCUUGAAGAAGUGAUCUUAACAACUUGUAAUGGGAGACGAGAUGGCUAACAAAAUAAUCUUCUUCAGUUUGUCAUUCCCACUAUGAAAAGUCUGGCAUCUGGGAAAACCUGCAGGACCAUUUCAUCUGCACUUAUCAAUGAAAACACAGUGGAGACUUUGAGAGCCUAAGACCCAA